UGGGGAAUAUUGCACAAUGGGCGCAAGCCUGAUGCAGCCAUGCCGCGUGUAUGAAGAAGGCCUUCGGGUUGUAAAGUACUUUCAGCGGGGAGGAAGGUGUUGUGGUUAAUAACCACAGCAAUUGACGUUACCCGCAGAAGAAGCACCGGCUAACUCCGUGCCAGCAGCCGCGGUAAUACGGAGGGUGCAAGCGUUAAUCGGAAUUACUGGGCGUAAAGCGCACGCAGGCGGGCUGUCAAGUCGGAUGUGAAAUCCCCGGGCUUAACCUGGGAACUGCAUCCGAAACUGGCAGGCUUGAGUCUUGUAGAGGGGGGUAGAAUUCCAGGUGUAGCGGUGAAAUGCGUAGAGAUCUGGAGGAAUACCGGUGGCGAAGGCGGCCCCCUGGACAAAGACUGACGCUCAGGUGCGAAAGCGUGGGGAGCAAACA
rnacentral:rRNA from 1 species